AAAUAACGCGCAGGCCAGCCCGACAAUAGGCAGCUUAUUUUUUUGUGAAUUAUAGACAAAUGAUAUUCGAAUAUAUUCGAACGCUAACUAAUUACAAAAGCUAAUAUUCGAACUCAUUUUCAUGGCACUUUUGACAGCCUUACUAAUGUAGCCGCUAGAGGUGGGCAGGUAAUUAGAUGACACGGUAACGUCAUACGCGAAUAUAUGCAUAUAAGCAUGUUCUAAACAGGCAGACAGCGAGCCGUCAAUCUUGGGGUCCUCACAAUCUUACACCUGUUAAGAGUUGUGAGUGGAAGGUUUGUGUGCGGCGUUGAUAAAUGGUUUGUGCCGGUCCCGUGUUAGUACCAUUUUUACAGUCUCUGGUUAGGACUGCAGGUUGUUUUGCCUAUCCGGAAGUGCAUGUACUGUAUGUAAGCUGGAGAAGCCACGGUUGGAGAUGACGUGGCCAGGAUUGACUGACCUUACCGCAUACAGCUAUUGAGAGCCAUCCGGUAAUGUAGAUUGUUUUAUUCAUGCUUUUAUAUUGGUGGCUUCUUGGUUUGGGUGUGCAUGCUUUCUCUGCAUGUAGCUUGAGCAGUGCCUUUUGUUUUGCUUAUAGGUUUAUUUUGAGUAGGUGGCCGAUGCAUGGAUUGACCGCUGUUCCUUCCUUUCGUUUUAUGUACAUGUUGCAAAUUGGCUGCCCAGCUACCGCGAGUGAGCGUGCUUCCGCUCAUAGUAUCUGGCCUUGUGUUGAUUAGCCAAUGCGCGGAGCUGGUCGGCUAGCUUGAGCAUUUAUUUUUGUUUAAUUGUUUUUUGUUUUCAUGUUAGCCAAUCUCUCCCGCUCUAACUCAAUCAGCUAACCCAGUCCUGCUUUAACUAUUCUUUGUGCUUUGCCUGCCAUUAAUUCGAGGCGCUUGCUUGCUGUUGGGUUUGCUUUACGCCCCUUCUAGAUUGCUGUGCUUGACUAAAGAGCGUUUGGCUUUGCUUUAACUAUUUGUGUGUUCUUCUACUUUGCUCUGUGGAGUUUGCAGUGUGAUUACAAUUGCAGUGUACCUUAAUGGGGUGUGUCAUUCACAGGUGUAUAUAUUCUCUUCUCUAAGGUCACAGCAAACACAAGUAAGGUGCAAGCCAGCUGGGUAGUCUGUUUUGCAGUAAGGGGUGGAAAUGUUAAAUGUUGUGUGUGUUAUUUCUCAUUAAACCAUUUUAUGAAUUGGAGAAAAUAAAGGAAGCUAGCAUUUUGCUAUCUUCCCUACCAUAGUUUUU